AUGCUGGCGCGCAAGAACUCAACAUAUUGCCUGAACUUAUCUACUCCACUAUCGAGUGACGUAUUUUGGCACACAUUUUGCAUCCUUUGUCUGCUCAUAUAUCGUCGUAGGAUUGGUGGUAAGAUUCGUAGAUGCUACCGCAAAAAGGCUUGCCCUAUGUGGAUGACCUCAUGUCCUCAUGUUUUCCAUUUUGCCUUUGUAAGCCGAUUUGUACGCCCGGUUAGAUUGAUGGUAAGAUUCGUAGAUGCUAACCGCAAGGCUUGCCCUAUGUGGAUGACCUCAUGUCCUCAUGUUUCCAUUUUGCCUUUGUAA
rnacentral:rRNA from 1 species